rnacentral:rRNA from 1 species
UACGUAGGGGGCAAGCGUUGUCCGGAAUCAUUGGGCGUAAAGAGCGUGUAGGCGGCCCGGUAAGUCCGCUGUAAAAGUCAAAGGCUUAACCUUUGAAUGUCAGUGGAUACUGCCGGGCUAGAGUCCGGAAGAGGCGAGUGGAACUCCUGGUGUAGCGGUGGAACGCGCAGAUAUCAGGAGGAACACCAGUGGCGAAGGCGGCACUCUGGGCCGGUACUGACGCUGAGGAGCGAAAGCGUGGGGAGCGAACAGG